rnacentral:tRNA from 2 species
GCCCCCUUAGCUCAGUGGACAGAGCAGCAAGCUUCUACCUUGUCGGUCGAGGGUUCGAAUCCUUCAGGGGGCG